rnacentral:rRNA from 1 species
GUGGGGAAUAUUGGACAAUGGGCGAAAGCCUGAUCCAGCCAUGCCGCGUGUGUGAAGAAGGUCUUCGGAUUGUAAAGCACUUUAAGUUGGGAGGAAGGGCAUUAACCUAAUACGUUAGUGUUUUGACGUUACCGACAGAAUAAGCACCGGCUAACUCUGUGCCAGCAGCCGCGGUAAUACAGAGGGUGCAAGCGUUAAUCGGAAUUACUGGGCGUAAAGCGCGCGUAGGUGGUUCGUUAAGUUGGAUGUGAAAUCCCCGGGCUCAACCUAGGAACUGCAUCCAAAACUGGCGAGCUAGAGUAGGGCAGAGGGUGGUGGAAUUUCCUGUGUAGCGGUGAAAUGCGUAGAUAUAGGAAGGAACACCAGUGGCGAAGGCGACCACCUGGGCUCAUACUGACACUGAGGUGCGAAAGCGUGGGGAGCAAACAGGAUUAGAUACCCUAGUAGUCC